rnacentral:tRNA from 1 species
GAGGGUAUAGCUUAUGGUAGAGCACUUGCCUAGCAUGCACAAGGCCCUGGGUUUUAACCUCAAUGCUCUCU